rnacentral:rRNA from 1 species
AUUGAACGCUGGCGGCAUGCUUUACACAUGCAAGUCGAACGGAGUGGCGAACGGGUGAGUAAUAUAUCGGAACGUGCCCAGUAGCGGGGGAUAACUACGCGAAAGCGUAGCUAAUACCGCAUACUAUUGGAGCGGCCGCUAUCGGAUGAGCUAGUUGGUGGGGUAACGGCUCACCAAGGCGACGAUCCGUAGCUGGUUUGAGAGGACGACCAGCCACACUGGGACUGAGACACGGCCCAGACUCCUACGGGAGGCAGCAGUGGGGAAUUUUGGACAAUGGGGGAAACCCUGAUCCAGCCAUCCCGCGUGUGCGAUGAAGGCCUUCGGGUUGCAAAGCACUUUUGGCAGGAAAGCGGUACCUGCAGAAUAAGCACCGGCUAACUACGUGCCAGCAGCCGCGGUAAUAC